rnacentral:rRNA from 1 species
UACAGAGGUCCCAAGCGUUGUUCGGAUUCACUGGGCGUAAAGGGUGCGUAGGCGGUCGGGUAAGUCUGAUGUGAAAUCUCACAGCUUAACUGUGAAACUGCAUUGGAUACUAUCCGGCUAGAGGAAUGGAGGGGAGACUGGAAUACUUGGUGUAGCAGUGAAAUGCGUAGAUAUCAGGAGGAACACCGAUGGCGAAGGCAGGUCUCUGGGCUGACACUGACGCUCAUGCACGAAAGCGUGGGGAGCAAACAGG